GACAGAGGUGCCGAGCGUUAGGCGGAAUCAUUGGGCGUAAAGCGCUCGUAGGUGGAUCGGUAAGUCUGCAAAGAAAGACCCGGGCUCAACUCGGGGAACGGUGUGGAUACUACCGAUCUUGAGGCAAUCAGAGGAUGAUGGAAUUCCCGGUGUAGCGGUGAAAUGCGUAGAUAUCUGGAGGAACACCGGUGGCGAAGGCGGCAUCCUGGACCGAUACUGACGCUGAGGAGCGAAAGCCAGGGGAGCAAACGGG
rnacentral:rRNA from 1 species